GACAAACAGGUCGAGUUAAGUUUAAUUGGUAUAAAAGGAGGUAAAAUAGGAACCAUUAAAAGAGAAAUUUAAUUUAUUAUGGAGAGGUGGAAUUCGUACAUAAUAAGUUAUAGUAACUAUUUCUUUGAUUUGAGUCCUCGAAAAUUAAAUAAGAGACCGGGAUUAGAUACCCCGUUAUUUUUUUUGUAAAUCUUGAUUAAUUAAUUGAUUUACCUGAGUAUUACGGGUUAUAGAAUUCAUACGGUUGUACACACAACCGUAGAAUUGUAUAUGAACUUAAAACUCAAAAAACUUGGCGGUGCUUUAUUUCCUUCCAGGGGAACCUGUCCUGUAAUCGAUGAUCCACGAUUUAACUUACUUUUAUUUGAAUUUCAUGUAAUUGAAUUGUCAGUUUGUAUACCGUCGUCGUCAGAUUACCUUUAAGAGUAAAAAAGUUGUCAGAUAAAUUAUGGAAGUAUUUCGUACUAAGUAUGAAGACUAGUUAACUUUUGAUGUCAGAUCAAGGUGCAGCUUAUAUAGAAGUAGAGAUGGGUUACAAUAUAAAUUUUAUAUUAUGGAUACUAAUUUGUAAUAAUUAGGUGAAAGUGGACUUGGAAGUAAUAUAUUUUAAUGGUAAUUAGUUAGUUUAUGUGAAUAAAGGUACUAAGGUGCGU
rnacentral:rRNA from 1 species